rnacentral:ncRNA from 1 species
AAUCGGCGUACAGCAGUGGGGACGUGUCCCCGAAGUGGUGCCGAGGGGAGCAAGCCACAGCACCAGCACCAGAAAAGGUGGAAAGCUGAAAAAUCACGCGUCGGGUGGAGUUUGGUAGGUCACUUGUGAUUCGAAGAAGUCAGACCCG